CCUACGGGAGGCUGCAGUAGGGAAUCUUCCACAAUGGUCGAAAGCCUGAUGGAGCAACGCCGCGUGGGUGAAGAAGGUCUUCGGAUCGUAAAACCCUGUUGUUAGAGAAGAAAGUGCGUGAGAGUAACUGUUCACGUUUCGACGGUAUCUAACCAGAAAGCUACGGCUAACUACGUGCCAGCAGCCGCGGUAAUACGUAGGUGGCAAGCGUUAUCCGGAUUUAUUGGGCGUAAAGGGAACGCAGGCGGUCUUUUUAGUCUGAUGUGAAAGCCUUCUGGUUAAACGGAAUAGUGCAUUGGAAACUGGGAGACUUGAGUGCAGAAGAGGGGAGUGGAAUUCCAUGUGGAGCGGUGGAAUGCGUAGAUAUAUGGAAGAACACCAGUGGCGAAAGCG
rnacentral:rRNA from 1 species